rnacentral:lncRNA from 1 species
GCAGAGACAUUUAUACAAGGAUGUUUCCUGCAGCACUGUUUAGAAUGUUGAAUAUUUGGAAUUAAUCCAGAUGUCCUCUAUUAGGGAGUUGGUUAUACAAAUAUGGAAGGCUAUGCAGCUCUUAAAAAGCAUAAAAUAGGUCUCUGUAUAUUGACAUGGAAAUAUGUUCAUUGAUAUGCAUUUUUUAUACAAAGGUAGACUAGAUUAAAAUAAGCCCUCAUGUAUCCAUUACCCAGCUUCAAUAGUUAUUAUGUCGGGGUUCCCGUCAUGGCGUAGUGGUUAACGAAUCCGACUAAGAACCAUGAGGUUGCGGGUUCGAUCCCUGGCCUUGCUCAGUGGGUUAAGGAUCUGGCGUUACCGUGAACUGUGGUGUAGGUUGCAGACGCGGCUCAGGUCCCGCGUUGCUGUGACUAUGGUGUAGGCUGGUGGCUGCAGCUCGGAUUCAACCCCUAGCCUUGGAACCUCCAUAUGCCAUGGAAGCAGCCCAAGGAAUGGCAAAAAAGACCAAAAAAAUAAUUAUUAUGUCAUAGGCAAAUCAUAUUUCAUUUGAACCUCCACCUGUUUAUUGGUUGUAUCAUUCUGAAGCAAAUUCCAGACAUUAUUUCAUCUGUAAAAUAUUUCAAUACAUGUCUCUGAAAGAACACAGCUCUAUAAAAAAAUAAACAUGAUCAUCACACUUUUAAAAAUAGUAAUAAAUUAUUUAAGAUCCUCAAAUAUCUAGCCAGUACUCACAUUUCUAAUUGUAUCAUACAUUUUAUUUUUAAUUGUUUGAAUCAAAAUAUAAAUAAGGUCCACAUACUGAGAUUGAAAUAAUUUUUAAUAGUUUUAUCAGUAUGUAAUCACAUACCACAUAAGUCAUCCGUUAAAGAGUGCAAUUUGGUACAUUUUAGUACAUGUGCAAAGUUGCACAUUCUUUACCACAACCAAUUUUAGAGUAUUUUCACCCCCUUAAAAGUAACCUCUGCCCCCACAGCUCCCCCAUCCCCCAGCAUCUACUUUCUGACUCUAUGGAUUUGCCUGUUCUGGACAUUUCACAUAAAUAGAAUCAUACAGUAUGUGGGCCCUUGUGACACUUAUUUCACUGAGCAUUUUUUCAAGGUUUACCUAUGUCGUAGCAUGUACAAAUACUUCAUUCAUUUUUAUUGCUGAAUAGUAUUCCUCCACAUGGAUAUACCACAUUGUGUAUACUCAUUCAUUCAUUGAUAAACAUUUAGGUGAUUUCCAUUUUUUUACUAUUAUGGAUAAUGCUGCUAUGAAUAUUUUAUACAAGUUUUUGGUAUGGAUUCUUAAAUAUCUUUUGAUUUAUAAGUUUCCUCUCUGUGUUGAUUUGUGUGUAUGUGUGAGCGUCCUCACUUGCAGUUUAUUUGUUUUUUGUUUGUUUGUUUGUUUUUGUCUUUUUUUUUUUUUUUCCUGCCUUUUCUAGGGCUGCUCCCACGGCAUAUGGAGGUUCCCAGGCUACGGGUUGAAUCGGAGCUGUAGCCGCCGGCCUACACCAGAGCCACAGCAACUCGGGAUCCGAGCCACGUCUGCAGUCUACACCACAGCUCACGGCAACGCCAGAUCGUUAACCCACUGAGCAAGGGCAGGGACCGAACCCGCACCCUCAUGGUUCCUAGUUGGAGUUGUUAACCACUGAGCCACAAUGGGAACUCCACUUGCAAUUUAUUUGCCAAAGAAACUAUGUUGUUAUUGUUCUCACAAUCUGAAUUUUGUGUUUGCACUUCCGAGGUUUUUUUUUGUUUGUUUGUUUGUUUGUUUGGCUUUUUGUCUUUUCUAGGGCCGCACCCAUGGCAUAUGGAGGUUCCCAGGCUAGGGGUCCAAUUGGAGCUGUUGCCGCCGGCUUACACCAGAGCCACAGCAGCUCUGGAUCCGAGCCGUGUCUGUGACCUACACCACAGCUCACAGCAACACUGGAUCCUUAACCCACUGAGUGAGGCCAGGGAUCGAUGCCACAACCUCAUGAUUCUUAGAUUCGUUAACCACUGCGCCACGAUGGGAACUCCCCAAGGUGUAGUUACGACAUGAUUUUCUGUCUUUUGUAUUUCCUGUUACUUCAUAGUUGGAUGAAGAAAUCUGAUGGUAAUAAACACUCAUUCAUAGUUGGUGAGAUGUAUUUCUACCAGAAGGCAAAUAGUGUCUGGUUGUCUCUUUCUAAAAAGUUUGCAGCUGGAGUUCCCAUUGUGGCUCAGCAGAAACAGAUCUGACUAGCAUCCAUAAGGACAAAAGUUUGAUCCCUGGCCUUGCUCAGUGGGUUAAGGAUCCAGCAUCGCCAUGAGUUGUGGUAUAGGUCGAAGUUGUGGCUUGGAUCAUGUGUUACUGUGACUGUGGUGUAGGAUGACAACUGCAGCUCUGAUUUGACCGCUAGCCUGGGAACCUCCAAAUGCCGCAGGAGCGGCCUUACAAAGGCCAAAAAAAAAAAAAAA